ensembl:lncRNA
CUGCUAUUUCUCAGAAGCAGCAGGACGGUUGGAAAGCACACAGAGAAAACAGUAGGCAUCAGAGCUGCACCAGGUGGCGCAUGUCUGUGCUCCCAGGUACUCAGGAGGUUGAAGCAGGAGAAUGGAAAUUUCGAGGCCAGCCUGGGCAACUUAGUGCGAUGCUGUCUCAAAUGAAGACUAUAAAGGGCUGGGGUGUGGCUCAGUGGCAGAGCACUGGGAGAGGGCUUGUGAGCACCUGGACUCGGUCCCCAGCCCUGGAAGAGAAGGAAGAAGAGCAAAGAAAAGUCAGCUGUACUUCUCCAUCAGGGCACUUCCUGUGGGCAGGGUCUCUUGCUAAGUUGCCAGAACUGGGCAACUUAAUGGGCCCGAACUUGGUGAGCCUCCUGCCUCAGCCGCUGGAGAUUACAGGUGUGCACCUGGGAUUACAGGCCCCUCCUCUUCACGUGGUGACCUGUAGCAGUGCAGACUCCUAUCAAUCAGCCUUUAGAUCAGAUGGCCAAAGAAACAGGGUCUUCUCUUUCCCACGGUUCAAAGAAAAGUUCCAGAAUUGCGUCUCAUUGGGCGAGCAGCAUC